AAGUCGUAACAAGGUUUCCGUAGGUGAACCUGCGGAAGGAUCAUUAAAGAGUACCGGCCACCGUGCCUGCUCCACCCCAUGUCUUAACCUAACCGUUGCUUUGGCGCGCCCGCCCUCCCCCUGGGCUACAAACCCGGGAGGGGCGUCGCGCCGGAGACCAAACCAAAACAACCUUUAACCGACGUCUGAGUAAAAUCUUAAUAAUUAAAACUUUCAACAACGGAUCUCUUGGUUCUG
rnacentral:misc_RNA from 1 species